CGUGUCAUUUGAAAAUAUUGUUGUAAAUAGAGUAUUAUCUUUGUGUUUCUAUGUUUUGUAAUUUUACCCAACACGAUAUAUAAAUUUUUUUUCAAAACAAUUUCGUUGAAUUUAAAAUUAUUUUCAGACACUAUUCAGUUAUCCGAACAUAACCGUAAUAUUUUAAAUAUAAAAAAGAAGCUGCGUACAUAAAAAGGCAUACAAUUUCCAUAUAAUGUUCAUUCCGUAAAAAUAUACGAGUAUUAUACACACAUUCUAUACAUUCUUUAACCUUUAUUUAAUAUUCUUAAAUCAUCUCAACUGCUGUUUUACCUACUAUACGAGAAUAUGUAUUAUAUUAUGGGUAACUAGCAGGCUCCCUAUUGACCCUUAUUAUGAACAAAUUUGAAAUCUGCAAUUUUCUAAGAUAAAUAAUAUUAUUUUGAAUUGAGUUAUUGAUGUAUCCGAAAAGUGAUUUAAAAAUUAUUGUAUCGUA